GUAUUUCACUGACCAGGGGACUGAGGCACAGAGAGGCAACCUGCCCAAGGUCAUACAACUAGUAAGCAACCAAGCUGGUACUUGACUCAUGCAGACUUGCAUUCCACAACUCCUCUCAAAUCCCUGUGCUAUCAUGGUUCGGCCAUCUCCCACAAGGCUGCUGGUGCACCCACCUUGUUGAAGCUGUCGACCAGUCCCCGGCAGUCUUGACGGCUCCGGGGUAAUGGAUGGAAACGGAAAGAAUGACCAAGAAGAGGCAAGGAUGAGACUCCGUCUUAAAGAAAAACCCUGAAGGGCCUCAACUUCAACCAGUUGAAGUUUGCUUUAUAGUUGUUGAUCACCCAGUUCCAGCCAACCAGGAAUAAAUUAAAUAUAGUUUUGCCACCUCAGCUGGUGGCAACAGGA